UAUCCAUGAUGUGGGCAUUGACUUAACAAAUAUUUAAACCUCUCCCAGACGUGAUAUAAAGUUGCAUGGUCUUUCUGGUUGAAAGUAGAGAUUUUUCUUUCAAGACU